GAUGAACGCUGGCGGCGUGUUUAACACAUGCAAGUCGAACGGAAAGGCUCCUGCUUGCAGGGGUACUCGAGUGGCGAACGGGUGAGUAACACGUGGGUGAUCUGCCCUGCACUUCGGGAUAAGCCUGGGAAACUGGGUCUAAUACCGGAUAGGACGAUGGUUUGGAUGCCAUUGUGGAAAGUUUUUCGGUGUGGGAUGAGCUCGCGGCCUAUCAGCUUGUUGGUGGGGUAAUGGCCUACCAAGGCGUCGACGGGUAGCCGGCCUGAGAGGGUGUACGGCCACAUUGGGACUGAGAUACGGCCCAGACUCCUACGGGAGGCAGCAGUGGGGAAUAUUGCACAAUGGGCGCAAGCCUGAUGCAGCGACGCCGCGUGGGGGAUGACGGCCUUCGGGUUGUAAACUCCUUUCGCUAGGGACGAAGCGCAAGUGACGGUACCUGGAGAAGAAGCACCGGCUAACUACGUG
rnacentral:rRNA from 1 species